rnacentral:rRNA from 1 species
GACGAACGCUGGCGGCGUGCUUAACACAUGCAAGUCGAACGGAAAGGCCUGCUUUCCCUUGUGGAUUGCGGGUACUCGAGUGGCGAACGGGUGAGUAACACGUGAGUGAUCUGCCCCCAACUUGGGUAUAAGCCUGGGAAACUGGGUCUAAUUCCCGAUAGGACUGCAGGGUGGUGCCUGUGGUGGAAAACGAUUUUCUAGUGGUUGGGGAUGAGCUCUCGGCCUAUCAGCUUGUUGGUGGGGUAAUGGCCUACCAAGGCGGCGACGGGUAGCCGGCCUGAGAGGGUGGACGGCCACAUUGAGACUGAGAUACGGCCCAGACUCCUACGGGAGGCAGCAGUGGGGAAUAUUGCACAGUGGGCGGAAGCCUGAUGCAGCGACGCCGCGUGGGGGAUGACGGCCUUCGGGUUGUAAACUCCUUUCGACCGCGAGGAAGCCACCUGGUUGGAAGGGUGGUGACGGUAGUGGUAGAAGAAGCACCGGCUAACUACGUG